rnacentral:rRNA from 1 species
UACAGAGGGUGCGAGCGUUAAUCGGAAUUACUGGGCGUAAAGAGCACGUAGGUGGAUAGGUGUGUUGGAUGUGAAAGCCCCGGGCUUAACCUGGGAAUGCCAUUCAAAACUGCCUAUCUAGAGUACAGUAGAGGAAAGUGGAAUUUCCGGUGUAGCGGUGGAAUGCAUAGAUAUCGGAAGGAACACCAGUGGCGAAGGCAGCCCCCUGGGAUAACACUGACGCUCAUGCACGAAAGCGUGGGGAGCGAACAGG